GUCAGAAUCAAAGAACACAUAGUGCACUAUAAACCAUUUUAAUAUAGAUGAAACUGGACUUUACACUCUCCAAAUUGCACAAGCUUCUCAGCCCCUUAACCCACCCACCUGCAUAAACAUGUACACAAAAAACGCCAAGGCUGUUGGAGAAGUUCUUGCUGCUAGCAGCAUUUCUAAAAUUAAGGGACCUCACCAUCAGUGAUAUUCCAAACAUAUAAAGGUGGCUGACAACUCUAUCAACUAGCAAUGAAGAGGCCCAUGUGAUGUUUUUCAUGGUAGCACACGCCGUGUGUUAAUGGAAAAAUUCUAGAUUUUAAUAAUGCGACAAUUGAUCAUGGAUCAUUAUUAGAAAGGUAAGGUUUUCAUGGCACUCUUGCUUUUAUCCUUUGUUUUCCUGAUAGGUUUAUUUACCUCAGAACAUUUGACUGGCAGAUUGAGCACUUAUGGCUUAGCUGAAUACCAAAUAGAAGAGGGGAAUUGCAAUGUUAGCUUUUUUAGCAUGUACAAAUUUUCUUUUUCAUCUGUAUGAAGGGGCUUCAAUAAGCUUUUUCCAAUAUCUAAAGAUACCACACAUGCUUUCCUUAAGAUCAUUCAUUUGAAACUCCGCUGCUAUCGAUGCAUAUGUAUUUCGGUACAUGCACACAUUGCUUUUCAUUAUUCCCAUUCUACCUCAAAAUAAAUAUCACAGAUCUCAUUAUUACCUUUUCAAUUUCGUAUAUUGAUUGAUUAUUUUGAAAGAAUGCUAAACUCUUAUGUAUAGGUUGCAGCCCCCAAAAGAAAAGUAUUAUUUCCAAACUGAUACUCCUUGCUUCCUUAUAUUCUUUAGCAAUGCACUCAGUUUUGUAUUUCUAGCUUUAUGUCCCUUAGAUGAAAAUAUGAAACAAUGUUGGGUCCAUAGCUACUGUAUUACGAACUAAGUAGUAGUCCAUUUAUCUAAUUCUUUGGGCAUGUCCUCGCUGCUUUUUUUUUUGCUAUCGCUUUAGAGAAUUAUCUCAAAAGUUAUCUCCUUUUGAAGGUAGAUAUUGCAAAUUCAAGCAAACUAUAGUAAAAAUAGAAAAGAUGAAUGGGUCUUGCUUGGGUACAGGUUGCCUCUUGCAAACUGAUACUCUCCGAGUGAAAAGGGGCAAAGCCUUGCCUUUCUGAAAAUUUUUGUUCCGAGGUGCAGUUUCAGCAAAUUUAUGGGCGCAAACAAGGUGUUGAGUUCCACAAUGUUAGCUUAAUGUUGCAUGUUUGAUUUUUUUCUCCUACAUUUCUUAUCAAGAUUUGCAAUCCUGAAGUUUCCUUUUGAAUGAAGUAGACAUAAAAAAAUCAAAAGAAGUUCACAUGAGUAUUGUUUUCGGCGAGAACUGUUCCUUUUUCCAUUUGACACUAGCAGAAGUCUCUUACUCUCUAGAGCCCCAGAUGAAGACAUCAUCGACUAUGGGUGUAUCUCCUACUAGCCAGCCUUUAAACUUUAAUCAUUCUCUCCUCAAGAACCACACAAUACAGAUGAGCCAAUCAGUCCUCAACUCUUCUUCAGGAAUCAAAACAAGCUUAUCAUUGGUUUAUGUGUGCACCCACCAUUUUAACUCUCACCAAACCUCUAAUCUUUUCAGUUUAGGCCACCUACCACCUUAAAGGUCUAUACGAUGAUGUCAAAAUCAGUGUAAGCUCAAACAGCGCCGGUGAGAAGCCAAUGCUCUAGAUGUGGCAUCUAAAUAGCACGUGUCCGAAGGGUACAAUCCCAAUCAUAAGAAAUAAGAAGGAUGACUUGCUCCGAGCAGCUCCAUUAAGCGGUAUGGCAGGAAGUGACAUACUGCUCCGAACCUAGUGUUUGUUUGUUUUAACAUGUUUUGUGAGGAUGGUCACCAAGUAUGUCCACAUGGUUUGUUUUGCUGAAAUUGAAGAGCUCGGUAGCUACAUUGAUAUGUUGUGAUUACUAAACUAUUGCCAUUGCUUGAUGCAGCAUGCCAUAGCGUAUGCCGAGGGCGAUAAAUAAUAUGGUGCAAAAUCCAGCAUUAAUGUUUGGGAGCACAAGAUUCAGCAGGCUAACAAAUUUGGCUUGUCCUAGCUCUGGAUAUUUGGGGGUUCAUUUAAGGAGGAUGUCAACAGUAUAGAGGCUGGUUGAUAGAAAUAGAAUAAUGCGUACCAGGCCACAGGGUGCUAGAUGUUGUGCUCUGGUUUUGUUCACAUAAACACCAAGAUGGCUAUCGCGACUAGCAUUCUCAACAUCUCGAACUACGCAGGCUCCCAAUGUGACAUCAGCAUCUUGAUCUAGAAGGUUAGCAUUUAGCAAUUAAAGCGCUCCUUCCGCCUCAGCAUAUUAUAUUAGUUUGUAUAUACAAUGUACAUAUACAAUCUACAACAUAUAUAUGAAUAGUAUAUCUGAAAAUAUAGUUGCUACUUAUAUU